CCUACGGGAGGCAGCAGUGGGGAAUAUUGCACAAUGGGGGAAACCCUGAUGCAGCAACGCCGCGUGAGCGAUGAAGGCCUUCGGGUCGUAAAGCUCUGUCCUAAGGGAAGAAUACUGACGGUACCUUAGGAGGAAGCCCGGCCAACUACGGUCCAACAGCCCGGGUAAAUCGUAGGGGGCUAGCGUUAUUCGGAAUUUCUGGGCGUAAAGGGUGCGUAGGCGGCCCUUCAAGUCAGAGGUGAAAGGCUACGGCUCAACCGUAGUAAGGCUUUGAAACUGUAGGGCUUGAGUGCAGGAGAGGAGAGUGGAAUUCCCAGUGUAGCGGUGAAAUGCGUAGAUAUUGGGAGGAACACCAGUUGCGAAGGCGGCUCUCUGGACUGUAACUGACGCUGAGGCACGAAAGCGUGGGGAGCGAACAGGAUUAGAUACCCCUGUAGUC
rnacentral:rRNA from 1 species